UUUCCUCAGCCUGCUCUUCGGAAUUGCCAAUGCCCUCUCCUUCCUGUUAAAUACCCAUGAUAUUUGAAACAUCCUCACUCACCCAGCCCAACGCCUUGAGAUCUCCUGACUCUUCAAACUGCUUUUGAUCCAUCCCUGGGUCCUUAGCCGUGAGCCUUCCUGACCCUUCCAAGGCCCUCUCUUUCCAUGAUGCUCUCUCCCAUUACAGCCGAUCCAGACGCUCUGCAUAGAACUUGCCAGUCUUUCCCAUCUCUUCCCUGAUGCUUUCCUUUAGUCUCUCACUGUCUUACUCCCCAUUUCCCACCUUCCAGAAGACGUCACCAUUCCAUAAGACUCCUCUGAGCACCUAAGCUUCAUUCACUGCUCCAAACACCCUCCCCCAAACCUCAACUCUUUCAUCCCCAAUGCCCCUAUCAAAGCCCCUGAAAUUUUGUCCGACAUGCCCUCUCAGGACUAAAUGCCGUUCAGACAUGACUGUACCCCUAGCCUUUCCUGAUGCCCCACACCCCACGAUCUGACUAGUCGUUGUUAAUGCAUGUUUCUUUAACCAACUCUCCCCAAGUCCCUGUCUGCUCCCCCAGACCCUCGUCUGUCCUCUGUCAUACAUCUCUAACCCCUAGAGGUCUUCGCACAUCCCAUGUCCCCUCAUCAGUUUUAAAAGCUCUCUCCGACCCUGUCACCCACCUGUCCCCAUCACUUAUAACCUAUGCUGACCAGUGUGUAACCUACACCAUCAGACCUGUGCCCUGAAUCUUGGG
rnacentral:lncRNA from 1 species